rnacentral:tRNA from 1 species
CAGAGCGUAGCUAAAAUAGAAUAGCAACUCCCUUACACUGAGAAGAUGCUUGUGCAAAUCAAGCCGCCCUGA